rnacentral:rRNA from 1 species
UACAGAGGUCUCAAGCGUUGUUCGGAUUCAUUGGGCGUAAAGGGUGUGUAGGUGGCGCCGUAAGUCGGGUGUGAAAUUUCGGAGCUUAACUCCGAAACUGCAUUCGAUACUGCGGUGCUUGAGGACUGGAGAGGAGACUGGAAUUCAUGGUGUAGCAGUGAAAUGCGUAGAGAUCAUGAGGAAGACCAGUGGCGAAGGCGGGUCUCUGGACAGUUCCUGACACUGAGACGAAAGCCAGGGGAGCGAAACGGG